GUGGGACCGGUGGCGUCAUGCUUAUUGCUCCUUGUCGCCAGCAGCAACGGCCACAAACAGAGUUCCUCCCGACCCCCUCAGCUCUCCUUUCCGUCCGCCCAGGGCCCACCCUUUUCCCCCCCUCCUCCUGCGGGGAGGCUCCCUCCCUUCUUCUCCGGCGUUUAGUACCACACCCAGCUGCCCUCCCGUCUCGACCAGCCCAACUUAGGCGCUCCUCUUGCCUUCUCGGUCCCACGCGGAGCAUCUUUCGCCAGAUCGCCUCGCCACGCGAGGAGGCUUCGUCGGUGCAGACUCUCCGCCCGCCCCAAGCCUUGGAAGUACCAUCUUUGCACAAUGCCAGUAACCCGCUCAAAAUCAGUGGGCAACACCAAUGCCCUGACCUCUCCCUUGGGCAUCGUUCGCCUCCUGGAAGCCCUUUUCACCUGUGUGGCCUUCAGCUUGGUGGCCAACCGGGAAGCCUGGUAUGGCCGCAAUGGGGAUUGGUGCAUGUUCUCCUGGUGCGUCUGCUUUGCCAUCACCAUUGUCAUCUUGGUGGUUGAGUUUGCUGGCCUCCAGCAUCGCAUGCCCGUCUCUUGGAAGAACUUCCCCAUCACCUUCGCCAUGUAUGCCACCCUAAUGUGCCUCUCUGCUUCCAUUAUCUACCCGGUAUUCUUCAUUUCGAAUCAGCGCCUUUCUCGUGAUGAACGGGGAUACCGCAUUUCCGCCACUGUGUUUUCUUGCCUAGCCUGCCUGUCUUACCUCACCGAGGUCAGCAUAACCAAAGCUAAACCAGGAGAAGUCACCGGCUACAUGGCAACAGUCCCAGGAUUACUGAAGGUGGUGGAGACUUUUACUGCCUGCAUCAUCUUUGUCUUCGUAAGUGACCCGCCUACUUAUGACCACCCAGAUGCUCUUAAGUGGUGUAUGGCGGUCUACUGCAUUUGCUUCAUCCUCUCCCUCGUGGUGAUUAUCCUCUGCAUUGGCGAAUGCACUGGCUGGUUGCCGUGUCCAUUCAACAAAUUCCUCAGCGGCUACACUUUAUUGGCUGUGCUCAUGUACGCCACCGCCACAAUUAUUUGGCCCCUCUACAAGUUUGACCGAAAGCAUGGGGGACAGCCAUCUCGAAGUGCAGUCUGUGGAGGUAGCCACUUCUGUAUAUGGGACAAGAACGUUGCUGUGGCUGUUCUAACCGCCAUCAAUCUGCUCAUGUACCUGGCAGAUCUGGUGUACUCUGCACGGCUGAUAUUCAUCCAGGGAUAGAAGGUGGCUGGCAGUUAGGAGCAUCAAGGCAGCAGUGUCCAAAAGAAGGGAAGUGGAAAGAGAAGAAGGGGUCAUGCUUUUCUCUCUUUUGCUCUGAUUUUUUUUCCUUUCUUCUGCCUGCAGUCUCGGACUAAUUCAUUCUCUUUUUCUCUCCUGCCUUCUCAAUUGCCUUCUUCUUAGCUUAGAUUUACGCUCUGUGCUUGCCACACAAUAAUUCUUUUCCUCUCUCUCCAUCCUGAUCCUAUUGCACAUAACAGCAAAAUGAUAAUUUGUUGUAUUGCAGAGUUUGGGAUGGCUCACAAAUGCUUCUCCCUAAUCAUCUUUGGCUAUUCCCAUGCAUGUAUCUUCGACAGUAUAGUUCGUCAGGAACUUUGUGUUCCGAGCCAUGAGAAGAUGCUUAGGGCUGUUAAAAGUGGUGUUGAAAUUGCAGGUGCCAGUUGAGUGGGGGGGAAAAAGCAGGGAGAGAGAGAGGGGGCGGGGGCACACACUAUUCUCGAUGGGGAGACUCCAGGAUGCAGGUUGUCCUCGACUUACAACAGUUCAUUUAGUGAUUGUUCAAAGUUACAAUGACCCUGAAAAAAAGCAACUUAGGAACCAUGCUUGGCAACUGAGUCACAUUUAUGACGGCUGCAGUGUCCCGGGAUCAGGUGAUCACCUUUUGAGGCCACCUGAAAAACAAAGUCGAGGAGGAAGACGGAUUCCCUUAACAAGAAUUCAUUCACUUAGCAACUGUGGCAAGAAAAAUGAAAAGGGAGGCAUAGUUCACUUAACAAAUGUCUUAUUUAGCAAAAGAAAUUUUGGACUUGAUUGUGGUUGUAAGUCGGGGAUUACCUAUAUUCUCAUAAGAAUCCACCUCCUAACAUUUUCUUUAAAUUACUUAGUUUGCAGUUAAGUUUCCCAUUUUCUGUUUUUGUCACCCUGGCUACCCUCUAUCCAGACCACUAACUUCCAAAACACAUGCCAGCAGCCACCAUCAGCCAGUAAGAUUCAGAGAAAAAGUAUGCAGCUAAAACAGGAACUUUGCUAGCAGAAAAGAAGAAUUCGGAGCAUUUUUGAUGUACAUAUUUUAUUUGGCCUUAAAAAAAUAUUCCUCCAUAUUAGUGCCUUCAAAACAUUGGGUUCCUCUUUCUGUCAUCAUGCAAAGAAACCCCUUUGCCCUUACCAAAUAUACUUGCUGUUUUCCAUCAUGAAUAUGUAAUAUUUGUUUUGGGAAAGGUGGAUGUUUACAGUAGAGCCAUUGGCUGCUUGCAUUUUCCAUUGGAUGAAUGGGGACUGCACAGAAGCAGCGCUAGACGGAUGGCUUGCUUUGCACCACCAUGGAGGGUUUAUUCUCCAUGGUUGCUCGGGGAGAAAUUAACUGUACAGUAAUGGAUUCAUGUCUGCCAGUAAAUCUGCAAUAGAAAUCCACCCAUAUCCUGCAAAAUAAUUUAUGCAGGAUUUGUUGAGGCUUGCAGUAACUUUCCUUCAAAAAGGGCAGCUCUCUCUCUUUUUCUUCAAAAGUCAACAAAACACAUUGGGGGGGUUACAAGGAACAUUCUGAUAUGGGGAAAUGGAAAGACACUUAUUUGUGAUUGCACCAGGCUGAAAGAUAACAACUGCAGUGGAGCAACAUUUAAGUAAGAGUUACAAAUUCUUGCCUUCAAGUUUCUUAACAAAUAGAUUGUUUUACAGAAAGAUAGUGUAAAUUGUUUUUCUUUACAUUUUGAUGUUUUUUUUAAAGUGUAUAAGACAUCCUCUGUUUUUUAAAUAAAACAUGGUAGAAAAAGACAUGCUUUGCAAAGUAUUAAAUGCAUAACUUUUGGUUUCUUUAUGAUUGUUAAUGUAGUUUUUUUUUUAAUAUUCCAAGCAUUUGGUAUUAGAUAAUACUGUUUUUCAACUUUGUAUUUCAGAAAACAUAAGUCUUUUCCCAUUAGCUCAGCAAUAGAAGUUAUUUGUAUGUGUUUCUACUGCAUUUACCAAAAUACUUAUAACAUUAUGCAGCGUAGGUAGAAAUAUAAGCUUCCUUCUUGCCUCAAUUACCCACAACUUCAUCUACAAUGUUUUUAUUAUUUUUUGAAAUAUGCAAAUCAAUGUAUGUGUACAAAAUAAAGGAGCAAUGAUACAA